UGAUGUAAAUGCAAUUUGACUGCCACACUUUCUAUUCCAUUGAUCGCUAAUGUUGAUUCUGCUGAUCUAGCUGGCUAGAUGAGUGUCCUCUUCCUCACUUGCUGCUCAUAGUUCAUCCCUCCCAAACCUGCAUGCUUGGUGGAAGAGAAUUCCAAUCCAGACAUGGAACAUGGCCAUACAGCCUGGAAAACAUAGAACAACUCUCCAAUCCAGUCUGUUGCUCCAACUUUGUUGUUUUG
rnacentral:snRNA from 11 species